ACGCUGGCGGCGUGCCUAAUACAUGCAAGUAGAACGCUGAAGGAGGAGCUUGCUUCUCCGGAUGAGUUGCGAACGGGUGAGUAACGCGUAGGUAACCUGCCUGGUAGCGGGGGAUAACUAUUGGAAACGAUAGCUAAUACCGCAUAACAGUAGAUAUUGCAUGAUAUCUGCUUGAAAGGUGCAAAUGCAUCACUACCAGAUGGACCUGCGUUGUAUUAGCUAGUUGGUGGGGUAACGGCUCACCAAGGCGACGAUACAUAGCCGACCUGAGAGGGUGAUCGGCCACACUGGGACUGAGACACGGCCCAGAUUCCUACGGGAGGCAGCAGUAGGGAAUCUUCGGCAAUGGACGGAAGUCUGACCGAGCAACGCCGCGUGAGUGAAGAAGGUUUUCGGAUCGUAAAGCUCUGUUGUAAGAGAAGAACGAGUGUGAGAGUGGAAAGUUCACACUGUGACGGUAUCUUACCAGAAAGGGACGGCUGACUACGUGCCAGCAGCCGCGGUAAUACGUAGGUCCCGAGCGUUGUCCGGAUUUAUUGGGCGUAAAGCGAGCGCAGGCGGUUAGAUAAGUCUGAAGUUAAAGGCUGUGGCUUAACCAUAGUACGCUUUGGAAACUGUUUAACUUGAGUGCAAGAGGGGAGAGUGGAAUUCCAUGUGUAGCGGUGAAAUGCGUAGAUAUAUGGAGGAACACCGGUGGCGAAAGCGGCUCUCUGGCUUGUAACUGACGCUGAGGCUCGAAAGCGUGGGGAGCAAACAGGAUUAGAUACCCUGGUAGUCCACGCCGUAAACGAUGAGUGCUAGGUGUUAGACCCUUUCCGGGGUUUAGUGCCGCAGCUAACGCAUUAAGCACUCCGCCUGGGGAGUACGACCGCAAGGUUGAAACUCAAAGGAAUUGACGGGGGCCCGCAC
rnacentral:rRNA from 1 species